UACGAGUGCCCCAAGCGUUAUCCGGAAUCAUUGGGCGUAAAGGGUGUGUAGGUGGUUUGGUUAGUCUCCUGUUAAAUUUCCCGGCUCAACCGGGAGCUUGCGGGGGAAACGGCCAAGCUAGAGGGUGCGAGGGGUGAAUGGAACUCAUGGAGUAGGGGUGAAAUCCGUUGAUAUCAUGGGGAACACCAAAAGCGAAGGCAAUUCACUGGCGCAUUCCUGACACUGAGACACGAAAGCGUGGGUAGCGAACGGG
rnacentral:misc_RNA from 1 species